GACGAACCGUGCGAACGUUAUUCGGAAUCACUGGGCUUAAAGCGCGUGUAGGCGGGACGGCACGUCGGUCGCUGAAAUCCCCCGGCUCAACCGGGGAACGGGCGCCGAUACGACCGCCCUGGAGGGACGUAGGGGGACCUGGAACUUCCGGUGGAGCGGUGAAAUGCGUUGAGAUCGGAAGGAACGCCCGUGGCGAAAGCGAGGUCCUGGACGUUUUUUCUGACGCUGAGACACGACGGCGUGGGGAGCAAACCGG
rnacentral:rRNA from 1 species